rnacentral:lncRNA from 1 species
UGAACUGAACCAAUUUAGGAACUUGGGUUAAUACAAUAUGCUAGCAUAUCAAAUUAAUCCUUAAAAUUUAUGUUAAAUCUUAAUUAAAUCAGAUCAAAAUCAAAUUACAAAGUGUGUGAUCCAUUGGAUUUCAAAUCUAGCCAGCAGUAGAUCCAAACUCUCGACGUGAUCCUAAUCUGAUCAGAUUAGGUCAACUGAAGAGUCCCAAUCAAUUAGGGCUCAUCCUAAUUAAUUUUUGAAUUAAACUCUUUUAGUUCUGAUGAGUCUACAAGUCAAGAUUGAUAUUUAGUAACAUAUCAUGAUAAUUCAAAAGAUUUAAAAUUUUGAUGAAAAAUUAUCAAAACACC